AGCUUACCCCCUUGCCGUGGAGUCGAGGUCGAGUCCCCAGGAACAGCGCCAUAUCUGAAUGCUCUUUCUGUAAAAGGUAUGGAGUCUUGCCGUAUUCAUGAAACUACCUUCACAGCAUCAUGAAGUGUGAUGUGGACAUCUGUAAGGACCUGUACGCCAACACUGUGCUCUCUGGAGGUACCACCAUGUACCCUGGCAUCGCUGACCGUAUGCAGAAGGAAAUCACUGCCCUGGCACCCACCACCAU